UACGUAGGGUGCAAGCGUUGUCCGGAAUUAUUGGGCGUAAAGAGCUCGUAGGCGGUCUGUUGCGUCGGCUGUGAAAACCCGGGGCUCAACCCCGGGCCUGCAGCCGAUACGGGCAGACUAGAGUUCGGCAGGGGAGACUGGAAUUCCUGGUGUAGCGGUGAAAUGCGCAGAUAUCAGGAGGAACACCGGUGGCGAAGGCGGUUCUCUGGGCCUUACCUGACGCUGAGGAGCGAAAGCGUGGGGAGCAAACAGG
rnacentral:rRNA from 1 species